rnacentral:rRNA from 1 species
GAUGAACGCUAGCGGGAGGCCUAACACAUGCAAGCCGAGCGGGAUUUAUUACUUAGCUUGCUAAGUAAUGAUGAGAGCGGCGUACGGGUGCGGAACACGUGUGCAACCUGCCUUUAUCUGGAGAAUAGCCUUUCGAAAGGAAGAUUAAUGCUCCAUAACAUAUGAUUCGGCAUCGGAUUAUAUUGAAAGCUCCGGCGGAUAGAGAUGGGCACGCGCAAGAUUAGAUAGUUGGUAGGGUGACGGCCUACCAAGUCAGUGAUCUUUAGGGGCCUGAGAGGGCGAUCCCCCACACUGGUACUGAGACACGGACCAG